CCUACGGGAGGCAGCAGUAGGGAAUCUUGCUCAAUGGGGGAAACCCUGAAGCAGCAACGCCGCGUGGAGGCUGAAGGUUUUCGGAUUGUAAACUCCUUUUGUUAGAGAAGAUAAUGACGGUAUCUAACGAAUAAGCACCGGCUAACUCCGUGCCAGCAGCCGCGGUCAUACGGAGGGUGCAAGCGUUACUCGGAAUCACUGGGCGUAAAGAGCGCGUAGGCGGGAUAGCAGGUCAGAUGUGAAAUCCUAUGGCUUAACCAUAGAACUGCAUUUGAAACUGUUAUUCUAGAGUAUGGGAGAGGUAGGUGGAAUGCUUGGUGUAGGGGUAAAAUCCGUAGAGAUCAAGAGGAAUACUCAUUGCGAAGGCGACCUGCUAGAACAUAACUGACGCUGAUGCGCGAAAGCGUGGGGAGCAAACAGGAUUAGAUACCCCGGUAGUC
rnacentral:rRNA from 1 species